rnacentral:rRNA from 1 species
UAAAACUAAAAUUUGAAUUUGACUACACCGGUUUCCAUCAGAUUACCGAAGUUAAGCAAUGUCUGGCUUGGUUAAUACCUGGAUGGGUGACCGCCUAGGAACACCACGUGCUGUUCAGA